AUAAAUGAUUCUUCUUUAUCUUUCUAACCGAAUUUAACUUAAUAUUAUACAAAAAAUACAACGAUUCUCAUCGGAAUGUAUUUCACAUCAUUUGAUUAACUUGUUCUUUUAUAUAAUUAAUGGAUGAAAUCGACGACGAAAGUCGAAUAAAGAAUCCAAGUUCAAAGUCCCGGCGAUAACGCAUCGUAAAUAAUUGUGCAAUAACUGCACCUCACUAGUAAAGGCCAACAGAAAAUAAACAAACGAAAUGAAACAUAAAUGAAAAAAAUGCAAUCCACGUUUCCACGAAACAGUGGAUUACAGUUCGAAUCAAGAUAAAACUCGAGCAUUCUCCAAAUGAAGCAAACUGGAGUGCUGAAAGAUCUCGACAAACAAUGAAUAUGUUCUCAACUAACAGUUCGUUCAUCUCUGUCCUUGAGCGCUGUCAAUCGAGCACAUUUGACCUUCUAUUAUCCCAUAUAUCACCUCUUUUCUUCUUAUCGGAGAAAAGAUGCCCCGGAUGAAUCGACCCGAUUCUCCUCCGAUAAGACGUAGAGGGGCAAUUUAGACCUUUCAUUUCACUAGGAACGACGUUUCGUUCUUCUUUUACAUAUUUAUUCAGUGGGAGAAGCUAUAUCAAGGUUGAUGGGGCUGUGAUGAGAAAACAGAUUUUGUCAUAAAAACAUCUCUGAAAAUCGUAGCCGAAUAGAGGACGUCUCGUCCUUCGCCCUGACCUUCAACAUAACACAUGUAGACAGGAACGAAUGAGAAUCGUCCUCAUCCGUCUUUAUAAUUAAGAAUUCAACAGUCUCGUUCGGACGGGGAUGAUGAUUUUUCCAUUGCAGAUAAUAGUGUUACGUGAGAUAAAAAUGGAGGAAAGUAGGAAAGGGAAAACCGAGAUGGGUGGAUGGAGUGAUCGAAUUGACAAUUGUGUGAGACGACACGCCUCUCGAAUUGGACGAAACGAUCGUCCCGUAUUCGUCGUGCCGUCCAGGCGGGCCAACGACAUCUUUGACCUUGAUUCGACCGACGAGAUUCAAUUAAGAGAUUUGUCGCCACAGCCAAGAAUCGAGAGAAGCGGGGGAAUCGAAUAAAAUAAAAAAGAGUGUGAGAUUAGGAGAGGGGCAGGAGGCCUCGUCGACUUGACCCUGUUCGACAGAUAAUUCGAAAGAAAUCUCUCUAGAGAGUGCGUGAGGUUCAGAAGAGGAAUCUUGAGGGUCCUUCGGGGAAACCUGACAGGAGAAAACUCUGUUUCUCCGUCAUUCAUGCGGAUGUUUACCAAAUUAUACUCCAAGACUUUUGACGUCAUAGGAAGUCUUGUGUAAAAUCGUCGGAAAAAAACCUUACUAAUUAUGUAUUAGAUUCGAGAAUCACGAUUACGCAGAAAAUUUAUUUUUGAAUAGAAAUACUUGGUUUAAAUCUCUAUUGUAAAUACAUUCUUAAAUUAAAGAUUUCACAGAAAAUAAAUAAAAAAU